rnacentral:sRNA from 1 species
GCUUAGCCCAGAUAGAAGCGGCAUCCUCUUGUGGUCUCAUUUUUUUGAGACCACAAGAGAUAUAGCGAAUAGCUGGAAAUUGC